rnacentral:lncRNA from 1 species
UCUCUCUCCCUUCCCCCACACCCCCUCUCUUUCUGAAUUUCUCUUUGAAGCUCAGAAGCUUGGCCCAAGUCCCAAAUGAAAUGGGCUCAGUUUCCAGAAUAGCUAACUUUGCACAUUGAGAGUUAAUUUUUUCCCUCGUCAUCAACUUCCCUCCUAUUCUAGAAUGCCUGAGUCUGGCCCAAAGGGCUUCCUAGGAAAGGGCCCACGUGCCGCGGCAGAAGCCACACAGCCAUGCUGCACCCCAGAGAGCGCCAAAGAAGAUCGAUUGACAACUGCAACAUGCAACGUGCCAGAUUUCUCUGGCAGUGCUCCAGCUAGUCAGAGCCAAUUAAUAUGAAACCAAUAGGCCAAAUCAACGUUUUCAGAAGUUAACUCAAAAAAAUCCCAGAAGAUUAACCAGCCUGUGGCCUUUGCUAUGAAAUUGUUACCACACCACUUUCUUUUCUUUUGAAAGUCCAGAUGGGCAGAUAAAUCCAAAGUGGAUCAACCACAUCUGCCAUUCCUCCACACAAAUUACACCCCCUCCCACAACUUCCCUCUUCCCUCUCCAGCAUGCAAAGCACUCAGGGCCUGGGCUGAAUUGACAUUUUAUGCCACACUGUAUGUUUUGAAUUCCUCAUUGUAUUAUGAGGAACUGCAUCAUGACCCCUCUGAGGCAAAGAGCUGGCAGAUUCUGAAAUUUGCCUUCUCCAAAGGUGAGAACUGCAUUUGUGGAGGGACGGCUUUCUUCCAGGCACAAAAUGAGCCAAGAGUAGAACCCAGCCCCGUUGGCUGCCUUCUCCAGUGUUCUGAACCGGUAUUCAAAUCAGCAAAGUCCAGGUGGGUGUUUUCUAUUAAUAAUGCCCCCUUUUCUACAUUUGCUAGGUAAUGUAUUAUAGUGUCAUGCCCAGUUGAGAGAUGAGGUUAUUAAUAAAGUCCUUUCUUGAAGAAGAGAGUUGGGGGAAGGAAAGGAGAGAGGCAGGAGGGUUCCUUGGGAUGGGCACCUCUCCUGCAGAGUAGCUGGUGUUGCUGGAAUCUGGGCAGCCUAUGGGGUUUGAGUCAAAUGUCAAAAGUUAAGGCCACCACCCCAGGAUGUCUGUAUAAAUGGGUCCUUGAAACAAGAAGGACUUGAGAUGUCAGAAAUUGAAAAUCUUGGGAAGAACCAAAUCAAGAGAGUACUGGAACAUAAUGCUGGGAAAUACUCAAGAAACUGAUGUUCAUGCUGGCUUUUUGAGUGCUUCCUGGGUAGAGUGCACCGGAGUGUUAAAAGGCUAAGAACAGAUUGACAUAAUCUGGAGCACAGUAGGAAACUUUCCAAGCUCAAAUCCUUUAAUUCCAAAACUUGUGUUCUUUAGGUAAAUUAGUAAGCAUUUUCCAAAGUUUCUCUAUGAAGAAAGGAGCCGGGUGAAUAUACAUUUUAUACAGCUAGGGACACCUAUUAAAAGCUCACUUUCCCUUUAAGAUUAUUAAGAAAAGUAUAGGGAAUGUUCUAUUUUAUGUGGGCUGGGACUCUUGGCACAAAAACUGAGAUUUUACCUAAGAAACUGAAAUCGCGGAAUUCCAGAGCAGGAAAAUAUUUCGAGAUCAACUGUUCUUUAAUACCCUUUUCAUUUGACAGACAAGGAAACAGAAGCCGAGAGAUGGAAUAUUGCAUACAAGGUUGCACAGCAAGUGUGAUGGGUGGUGACUUAUACCUCAACCCCAACCUUGCAAGUUGGCCAUGUGGUUGUGACAUUUCUUCAUGCCAUUCUCAGAACACCAGUGAACAAAAACGAUGUUGUUUGGGUAGAUUAGCAUUCCUGGGGUUUGAGUCUUUAAAAUGUGGUUGUUUAGAAGUUUGAGAGAGGUUAGUCUUACAGAAAAGCACCUUGGGUUUUGCAUGGCCAUGUUAGCAGGACAAGCAGCACCCAUAGGCUAUCCUGAGUUCCUGACACCAGUGACCUUCCCGGGUUUGGCCCAGCAUGCUUCUCUGUUCCCAACCAGAGCAUGGCUUGGGUAGUGUCCCACUUGCUGGUUUUUGUGCUGGCCUCCACACUGGACCUUGAGAUGCCCUGCCUGUGUAUCAUUUGGCAGCUCAUCUGGCCCCAAAGACCUGAGCAGAUCUGUCCUCUUCCUGCCUGGCCUGCCUCCAAAGUCUGAUGCCUGGUCCUUGUCUUGAUGUUGGCUUGAACUGGACAGUUUCUGUCAUUAUCCUGGCCACACAUUCAAGGUUACUUGAUGGAGAUGCCCUGAGGACUUUGGGAAUCUACAGCGUCUGCCGCAUGCCAGAUAUGACCUCACAGUGAUAAAAAAGUACGUUCUUAGUUCCUGUCCAAAUGUUAGACGACACCAGCAGAAGAACAGCAAAGCCUAGUCUGGGUCAUUUCCUAUGACUACAAAAUCAUUAGAUACAAAAAGGUUGUUCUGCCUUUCUGGAACUUGCAACUCUGAGGCUUCAGCAAGAGGGCGACGCCUGAGCCCCUGCCCAUUUCUCCAAGCAUGCAGGCAUUAUAUAACUGCAUUGACAAACAGCCACCUGUCUCUGGCAGUGUGACCUGAAACCCAUUCUCUGAGACUUGUCUGCGGGCUCUCAGUAUACACUGUAACCGAGGAAAUGCAUGCUUUACAGAUGUUUAUCUCCUAAUUAAGAAUCUGAUGUGCCACUUACGGUAAUGUACUUGCUCAUGCUAAUAGUUUCUCUUUCCUCAGAGGAUCUGCCAGGGCGGAUUUGAUGCAACAAAAGAGAGUGUCCCUGGUGUGUUUUAAUUAGGCUAUUGGUCUCCAGUCAUGGUGAGUACCAGGUGCCAGGCCUGCUGCAAAGCAGUUCAGAUCAACAACCAUCCACUGAUUUCUAUUCUAAGGUGAAUGAGGUAGACUCUGCUUUUGAGGAGCUUUCAGCCUCCAGGGAGGGGGCUUGACAGACACAGAUGACUAAUUAGCAUGCAAGGUGUUCAGUGCUCUAAACCAGUCCUGUGGGCUGAGGACUUGGAAUUCCACUGGAGGCUUGGAGUUUAGUGAAGAUGGGACAAUUUAGCCAAGCUUGUCAAAAGAGACCAGUGGGAAUUUAUCAGGCAGACAUGG